rnacentral:rRNA from 1 species
GCCCAGACUCCUACGGGAGGCAGCAGUGGGGCCUCUUGCACAAUGGGGGCCACCCUGAUGCCGCGACGCCGCGUGCGUGAAGAAGUCUUUCGGUAUGUAACGCUCUCUCAGCAGGGCCGCCAAUGACGGUCCCUGACUAAGACGCCCCGGCUAACUCCGUGCCAGCAGCCGCGGUCCUACGUAGGGGGCCCGCGUUAUCCGGAUUUACUGGGUGGCAAGGGAGCGGAGCCGGCCAGACAAGUCAGAAGUGAAAGCCCAGGGCUCAACCCGGGGACUGCUUGUGAAACUGCCGGGCUGGAGGGCAGGAGAGGUAAGCGGAAUUCCUAGGGGAGCGGUGAAAUGCGGAGAUAUUAGGAGGAACACCAGUGGAGAAGGAGGCUUACGGGACGGUAACUGACGGGGAGGCUCGAAAGCGGGGGGAGCAAACAGGAUUAGAUACCCUAGUAC